UUAUUCCAGCAAACCCGAAAGUUACAGAGACGGAGAGGGACAGAAACAAUCAAACAGCGCUACUCCACAACAUUACUAAGUACAAUAAACAUCACAUGAAUCAAACAUGAAUGCUUGUCUGCCUAUUCCUUAUACCAUAUUGUUACUGAAGGAUGGUAAUAAUAAUGUGUGUAUUGUAUGAACUGAGAUGCUAAAUGAACUGUGUCGACACAUUGCUAACGGAGCUGAAAACGGAGCAGGGAGGAGGUGUGUUAGUUUACCAAAUGCUGUCCGCGGCCAGUGACUGACUUCUCCGGCAGACGGUGACAGUCAGGUUUCAGGCCGUCCAAUCACAACCCUGAAGCCCCCUGUCCCCAGCAGGAAAGACCAGGAAAAAGUGUUAGCUGAAGAUCUGCCCACCUGCUCAGUGGGUGACAGGUCUUUCCACCAAGCUGUUCCAGGCCUGGAGUGGCAUGCUGGAACUUCCAGAGGCUUCUACACCUGAAGCAUUGUGAUGUGGUCCAGAUCUGCCAGCCCCAGCAGUUCAGCUGCAGUCUCAGCAGUCCUCUGCUGUGGUCUUUCAUUUGGGUGGCUGACAAGGAAAAAUAAAACACAACACACACAUUAUCCACAAUGUAAAUACAUUGUAAUUACUUGUUUAUUUCAUGUUUGCUGCAUUUUAUUUGAGGAUUAGAGAGAUCUACUCCUUCAUAUCCAUUCUUAAUAUCUACAUAAUUACUCUCCAUAUCUAUCAAAUCAAAGGGUGAUUGAUAAUAUUGUAAAAGACUAUGGCUUAAUGUUUACAGUCUGAGGAAAUUCUGUGCUUUUUUCUGAGUUGAAAACAUGUGUUGGUUCCACUUUUCUGGGCUCCGUUAUUUACAAAUAAGGAAAACUUCAAAUGUGAAUAUAUAAAAUGAAGAUAUUAGAAUACAGCCGUAGACAGAAGUCAAAGAUCAACAUACAACUGAUGUCUCUCCUGAGUUCUGCCCCGAACAAAAGAAAGACAGGAUCUUAUAUAGAUCACCCCUUAUGGUGUCAAACCCUGUAUGUGCAGCUAAAAUAACAAGUUAUUCUUAACACAAGGUUUCUGAGAACCGGUCUCAGCAGUAUGUAAAUCUGCCCUUGUUUCAGAGAAAAACAGAAGCUGUCUCUCUGUGUCUCUCUGUGUCUCGCUGUCAUCCACAGUCCCUUUUCUCACCUCUUCUCACAGACGCAGGGCUGCGGGUUUUGGCAGAGAGCUACACACAGAGAGGCCUCAAUAUUCAGCUAUACAAAGGAAGUCGGCAGACCUGCAACCCCUGGACUGUGUGGGUUUUGUCAUCUGGAGCUGAAAAAUAGAGAGAUGGGAGGAAGAGUGGAGUUUAAAGGUUUAUCAUUAAUAACAGACACAAUUCUAGAAUUAAUUCAUAUUAGAAUAUAUUACAUAAUGUUUCUGGAACAUGCUUAAUCCUGACAUUGUCAAGGCCAUACAAAUAUUGUAUACCAAACAAUUAAAAAUUUAAAAUUUUACAUGACAUAUCCAUUUAUAUGAUAUCCACAUUUGUGGCUAUUGAUGAUAUCUGUGUUUUCUGUGAAAAAGAAGGUGAGAAUCUGUCCCACUUGUUCUUUAAUGUAAAUUUGUGUCAGAAUUCUGGGAAAACUUUGCAAAAUACUUAUUUACCAUUAUGAACACGACCCAUGUUUUUGACAUGAAAGAUAUAUGUUCCUAUUGCAAUGAUAACAAGACCAUUGAAAUGAUUGUGAAUUUUUUUAUUCUUGUUGCCAAAUAGUUUAUACACAGACAAAAAUUCUAUACCAAAAUUACACAUUUUUCUGAUUGAAUUUAACUAUUUUAUUAAAACAUUAACCCCAGUGAAUAACAACAAGAAUAACAUUUUCCUGAAUCAUUCUAGAUUUUUCAGAGUGAUUACAAUAGCACUAGAAUUGUUUAUUUUUUUAUUACUUCAUUGAUAUUGUUUGUAUGUUUUAGUAUUUUCUCGUUAAUAGCUGCGUUCUGUUUUAUAUGAUGUGUCGUGUCUUUGGGGUACGAUUAAACUGAAGACAGGUUUAUCAAUUAACUCCCUGUAAUUAUUAUCACGCAA